UCUCCCGGAAGUACGUCGUGUGCAGCCAGUAAGCCACGAGGAGAGGGUGAAUUUACGAAGGAGUUGUGUCUAUAUAUUAUAUAAAAUCUACUAUUGGUUGAAGAUCAACACAAACCAAAUGAAGAUGUUGUAGAUUCUACAAACAAUAAAAAAGAAGGUGAUGGCACACAUCAUGACAGUAAACAUCGGUAUCAAGAUGGUGUGAUUGAUCUAUACCCUAGAAUAAGCUGUGACACUGAUGCUGUGGUCACAUAAUGAACAGCCAUCUUACAGACAACCGAAAGAGUAUUGUCUACAAUCCCAAAUUCUGGAUUGACGAUCCAGUACCAGUGGGCACCCCAAUCCCAGAGAGCAUCCAUCUGAAACCAGGUGAGGUAACACAACGAAAAAAUUACCGGAUGGAGACUACCUGAUUCUUCACCUAUGGCCUCAGCUUCAAAUGCAAGAAGUCCAGCAACUGUCUGAGUUGGUGGAUAUUCUGUCAGAGACUCCGUGGACAACGUUAUGAAUAGGUUAUUUGUCUAAGGUGAAGUAAUCUUACAGUUCUUUCACAGAAUGAUGUGAAAUUGUCUUAUGGCAAAGUUCAAUAUGAAGGGUGGUGGACAUCUGGAAAAGAAGUCUUUUAAAGGCACACCUUUGUAUUAUGUUAUUCAAGAUGCUGUGAAGAGGUGGAGCCCAAAUGCCACCGAAUCGGAAAUAGAUGCAGCUAUGGCAGACCACCUCAAGCACGCUCCAGGAAGAGCUGGGGGUGGUGGAUACAAAAAAGCCUAACAGCUGUGAUGUGUUAAAGAGAGAGUUCACCAAAAAAGGAAAAUUGUUAUAAUUUUCUUAUCCACAUGUUUCAAACCUGUAUACCUUUCUAUUUUCUGCUGAACACAAAGAUUGAAGAAUGUUUGUAACUUCACAACCCAUUAACUGUCAAUAUUUUUUUUUUACAAUUGUAGUAAUGGGUUGUGAGAUCUGCUUUGUUAAAAACAAUAUAUUUAAAUAUCUUUGUGUUCAGCAGAACAUAGAAA